rnacentral:rRNA from 1 species
CCCGACUCCUACGGGAGGCAGCAGUGCGGAAUAUUGGUCACUGGGCGAGAGCCUGCCCCAGCCAAGUCGCUUGAAGGAUUACGGCUCUAUGGUUUUUCCCCUUCUUUUAUCUUUGAAUAAAGUGCGGCACGUGUUCCUUUUUGUAUGUACCCUCUUAAUAAGCCUCUGCUAACUCCGUUCCCUCAGCCGCGUUCCUACGGAGGAUUCGCUCUUUAUCCGGAUUUAUUGGGUUUAAAGGGUGCGCAGGCGGAAUGUCAAGUCAGAGGUAAAAUUGCGGGGCUCAACCCCGUCGUGCCGUUGAAACUGGCGUUCUUGAGUGAGCGAGAAGUAUGCGGAAUGCGUGGUGUAGCGGUGAAAUGCAUAGAGAGCAAGCAGAACUCCGAUUGCGAAGGCAGCAUACCGGCGCUCAACUGACGCUCAUGCACGAAAGCGUGGGGAUCGAACAGGAUUAGAUACCCCAGUA